GUCUUUUAGUUUAUUCAAAACGGUAAUUUUGUAAAUUAUAAUUAGAGUUCUUCUCUCUAUGGACC
rnacentral:tRNA from 1 species